rnacentral:lncRNA from 10 species
UUUUAUGCAUAUUCUAUUGAACAGAUUAAUCUGACAAGAGUUGGCAAUCUGAGGAUCAACAGAAACUCUUAGGUACUCCUGAUGACAAUGUGAUUUUACAACAGCUUUGGGAAAGCAAUUUGGGAUUAUCUUAUAAAGCUGAACAUUUACACAAUCUACCAGGACCCAACAAUAACGCUACUGGGGUUACACCUUAGAGAAACUUGAACAUGUUUAGCAGGAGACAUUUAUAGAAUGUUAAUAGAAACAUAACUUAAAAUAGGAAAAAAUAAAAUAAAAUAACAAAAACAGCAGACAAUGUGAAUAUAUAUAAACAAAAGAAUAGAUACAUUAUUCACUUCAUGAAAUAUUAUAUAGCAGUGGAAGGGAGGCCGAGGUGUGCAGAUCACAAGGUCAGGAGAUUGAGACCAUCCUGGCUAACAUGGUGAAACCCCGUCUCUACUAAAACUACAAAAAAAAAAAAAAAAAAAAAAAUUAGCUUGGCGUGGUGGCUCACGCCUGUAAUCCCAGCAUGUGGAUCACGACAUCAGGAGAUCAAGACCAUACUGACUAACAUGGUGAAACCCCGUCUCUACUAAAAAUAUAAAAAAUGAGCUGGGCGUGGUGGCGGGUGCCUGUAGUCCCAGCUACUCGGGAGGCUGAGGCAGGAGAAUGGUGUGAACCUGGGAGGUGGAGUUUGCAAUGAGCCAAGAUUGCGCCACUGCACUCCAGCCUGGGUGACAGAGUGAGACUCUGUCUCAAAAAAAAAAAAGAAAAAAAAAAUUGGUAUGGCACAGGUUAAUGUGAUUAAAUUAUAAAAAUAUAAUAUUGAAGAAAAAAUCAUAGAAGCCCAUCAUAAAAUGACAGCAUUUUGUAUAAUGCCCAAAACCAAGCAAAAAUUAAUUAUAUAAUUAAUAUAUACAUGCAUACAUAUAUAUAUACAUAAACACAGACAUUACAUAUAUACAUGUAAGAUAAUAUAUAUUCCACAUGUAAAAUUAAAAGAAAAAAUUAUAAACACAAAUUUACGUGGCUUCAAUAGUGUUUAUAGUAUUCUAGUUCAUAAAUAUAGCCUCACAGGUAUUCAUUUCAUUAAUGUGCCAUAACUUACAUCUAAAUAAUACACAUUUUGUACAUAUUAAAUAUUACACAAAUAUAAAUUUUCAAAGCUAUAAAUUUACUUGAUAUUUGAAUGUUGAAUGUUCCUUAGGUUAAAAUUAAAGUGGUUAUGAUAUUUGACAAUAUACCAAUUUGAGAUGAAAGUAAUCUGAGGUCUUCUUAGGUGAUCAAACAUGAAUAAGGAACUCAAUUUUGGAUUAAAGUUAUGACAUAUGUAAGUAUCAAAGUACAUUAUAUACAUC